UAAAAUGUUGCCAGAGAGCUG
rnacentral:piRNA from 1 species